rnacentral:misc_RNA from 1 species
GAUGAGGAACGCAGCGAAAUGCGAUAAGUAAUGUGAAUUGCAGAAUUCAGUGAAUCAUCGAAUCUUUGAACGCACAUUGCGCCCGUCAGUAUUCUGGCGGGCAUGCCUGUUCGAGCGUCAUUACGCCCCUCAAGUCCCCUGUGGACUUGGUGUUGGGGAUCGGCGAGGCUGGUUUUCCAGCACAGCCGUCCCUUAAAUUAAUUGGCGGUCUCGCCGUGGCCCUCCUCUGCGCAGUAGUAAAACACUCGCAACAGGAGCCCGGCGCGGUCCACUGCCGUAAAACCCCCCAACUUUUUAUAGUUGACCUCGAAUCAGGUAGGACUACCCGCUGAACUUAAGCAUAUCAAUAAGCGGAAGA